CCUACGGGAGGCAGCAGUGGGGAAUAUUGCGCAAUGGGCGAAAGCCUGACGCAGCGACGCCGCGUGAGGGAUGAAGGUCUUCGGAUCGUAAACCUCUGUCAGCAGGGAAGCACGGUCACUGUGCUAAUCAGCAGUGAAUUGACGGUACCUGCAAAGGAAGCACCGGCUAACUCCGUGCCAGCAGCCGCGGUAAUACGGAGGGUGCGAGCGUUAAUCGGAAUUACUGGGCGUAAAGCGCUCGUAGGCGGUAUGUCAAGUCAAGGGUGAAAUCCCCGCGCUCAACGUGGGAACUGCCUUUGAAACUGGCAAACUGGAGUGUGUGAGAGGAUAGUGGAAUUCCAGGUGUAGGAGUGAAAUGCGUAGAUAUCUGGAGGAACAUCAGUGGCGAAGGCGACUAUCUGGCACAUAACUGACGCUGAGGAGCGAAAGCGUGGGUAGCAAACAGGAUUAGAUACCCCAGUAGUC
rnacentral:rRNA from 1 species